ACAGAAAAAAAUGGACAAGUGUCCGGCAGUAGAAUUAGGGGUACCUCGGUAUCCACUUAAAAAAAUGAUAGCCCAUGGUCCCUCUAAUAAGCAAUAUGCCAGCAAGAGUUGACAAAGUUUUUAAUUUUCAAAGUCUUUGAUCUAAGAGUAUGACAUUCCCCUCCUCGGAUCCCGUUUUGAUCAGGCAAUAAAUGCAAAGUGAGUAUGCUUAAGAAUUUUUGCAAAAUAAAACAACCUCAGUGAGAUAUAUAUAAAAGAUAAUGAGUGAUCUGAGAGAACUUAUGAGGAUAAAAAGGUAUGCUAACUUUCUUUCAAAAAUAUACAAAAACUCCAAGUGACAGGAUUGAGAAGAAAGGAUCUUU
rnacentral:lncRNA from 1 species